AGAGUUUGAUCCUGGCUCAGAUUGAACGCUGGCGGCAUGCCUUACACAUGCAAGUCGAACGGUAACGCGGGGGCAACCCUGGCGACGAGUGGCGAACGGGUGAGUAAUACAUCGGAACAUAUCCAGUAGCGGGGGAUAACCUAUCGAAAGAUGGACUAAUACCGCAUACGAUCUACGGAUGAAAGCAGGGGACCGCAAGGCCUUGCACUAUUGGAGUGGCCGAUGUCGGAUUAGCUAGUUGGUGAGGUAAAGGCUUACCAAGGCGACGAUCCGUAGCUGGUCUGAGAGGACGAUCAGCCACACUGGAACUGAGACACGGUCCAGACUCCUACGGGAGGCAGCAGUGGGGAAUUUGGACAAUGGGCGCAAGCCUGAUCCAGCCAUGCCGCGUGAGUGAAGAAGGCCUUCGGGUUGUAAAGCUCUUUCGGUGAAGACGAAACGGUUAGCGCUAAUAACGCUGACUAAUGACGGUACUCACAGAAGAAGCACCGGCUAACUACGCGCCAGCAGCCGCGGUAAUACGUAGGGUGCAGGCGUUAAUCGGAAUUACUGGGCGUAAAGCGUGCGCAGGCGGUUUGCUAAGACAGGUGUGAAAUCCCCGAGCUUAACUUGGGAAUUGCGCUUGUAACUGGCAAGCUAGAGUGUGGCAGAGGGGGGUGGAAUUCCACGUGUAGCAGUGAAAUGCGUAGAUAUGUGGAGGAACACCGAUGGCGAAGGCAGCCCCCUGGGUUAACACUGACGCUCAUGCACGAAAGCGUGGGGAGCAAACAGGAUUAGGUACCCUGGUAGUCCACGCCCUAAACUAUGUCAACUAGUUGUCGGGGAAGAAAUUCCUUGGUAACGAAGCUAACGCGUGAAGUUGACCGCCUGGGGAGUACGGCCGCAAGGUUAAAACUCAAAGGAAUUGACGGGGACCCGCACAAGCGGUGGAUUAUGUGGAUUAAUUCGAUGCAACGCGAAAAACCUUACCUACCCUUGACAUGCUAGGAAGCCCGCAGAGAUGUGGGUGUGCCCGAAAGGGAACCUAGACACAGGUGCUGCAUGGCUGUCGUCAGCUCGUGUCGUGAGAUGUUGGGUUAAGUCCCGCAACGAGCGCAACCCUUGCCAUUAGUUGCUACAUUUAGUUGGGCACUCUAAUGGGACCGCCGGUGACAAACCGGAGGAAGGUGGGGAUGACGUCAAGUCCUCAUGGCCCUUAUGGGUAGGGCUUCGCACGUAAUACAAUGGUCGGUACAGAGGGCUGCCAACCCGCAAGGGGGAGCUAAUCCCAGAAAGCCGAUCGUAGUCCGGAUUGUAGUCUGCAACUCGACUGCAUGAAGCCGGAAUCGCUAGUAAUCGCGGAUCAGCAUGUCGCGGUGAAUACGUUCCCGGGUCUUGUACACACCGCCCGUCACACCAUGGGAGUGGGUUCCACCAGAAGUAGUUAGCCUAACCGCAAGGAGGGCGAUUACCACGGUGAGAUUCAUGACUGGGGUGAAGUCGUAACAAGGUA
rnacentral:rRNA from 1 species